rfam:Schistosoma curassoni strain Dakar, Senegal genome assembly, scaffold: SCTD_contig0004745
GCACUGCUGAGGAGUCCCAUACUAAGACGAAACUGCCGUCCAGUGC